rnacentral:tRNA from 1 species
GCCCCGGUAGCUCAGCGGUCGGAGCANNGGUCGGAGCAACGGCCUUGUAAGCCGUAGGUCGCGGGUUCGAAUCCCGCUCGGGGCUCCA